rnacentral:sRNA from 1 species
UGAGCAUUGAACAAAAAAAGUGGCCUGAUGUGUAUAUCAGACGACAGAAAGCCAUAAAUAAAAUUUCGACAAGAGUUUAAAUAUAACAAUAGUUAUAAGAGUAUGAUGUGUCCCAAAAUUGGCACGCAAAAAAUAAGACAUUUGGGAUAUCUGUAUGAAAAACAAAUUUCUUUUUAUCUGGAAAGUGCCAUUUUUAUUGUAACUGUUUAAAAAUUCUCCUUAUUGCUGAGAGUUAUACGUAAAUUUGUCACUUUUUGUUCGUUUACAGCAAAGAUGCUUUGUUACAGGGAAAGAGGAAUAGUUGACUUCUCGAGUUUUAAUAACAGCACAUGAAAGAUGAAUGCAAAAAAGACGAAAUGUAAACGAGAAUUAGAGACAUCUUAUAAUUGGAGACAGGAAACGGAUUGUUGGUAUUCGAGAUGGCAUUACAGUGGACUGCAAACUGCUAAGCCAACAAAUUUCAGAAAAAAACUAAAUCUUUAAGCGAAUUCAAAUUUUGCGUACCGAAACUAAACGUAAUAUUUUUCCCACUUCCGCACAAGGAAUCUGGCAGAUCAUAAUACAAUGGCAUAAUGGAGUUGUUCGAAAAUGGAUGGAAGGCUUUAAAUGCAUAUGUGUGUUAUGACAUUAACAUGAACUCUAAAUCUGCUUAUAAUUGGUAAAUGUUGAGUUUGUAUUACUGUAACCACUUUAUACUGACGGGCAAUCGGAUUUACGGCUCACUUCAGCUGUUUUCCCUUUAAAACAUCAGCUGACAUUGGUCAUAUAUCCGCAUUUAACCUUUAUUGUGAAGUGGUCAUUAUGUUACAAAAUUGAUUUGCGUUUAGAUAUUCAUUGUCUGUUAUAAAA